UAGAAAUGCAACAGCGAAUGAGCAGCCAAAGAGCAACAGCGCAGCGCUCUCUAGCAGCUAGGAAGGAGAGCGAGAAGGCAAUGUGUACAACUGUCAAAUGCUUGCUUAUCAAAUAAAACACAGGGUGUUCCCAGCAUGAGGCGCCUAAAUGUUGAAUGGCAACGCACUGAAUUGUUGUUUCUCAUGGUGUGACUGCUCAGGUUUUUGAAAUUGUUUAUCAUUUCUACUGAACAACAAACACACAGCCAGGCACACACACACACACACCACACACACCACACACACAUACCACAAAUACAUAAUUGAAGAGAGAUAAAUGCCCGAUCUUUAUUCAGCAGCUUUUUACCAAUAAGCCAGUCCCCCUCUGCAGAUGAAUAUUUUGCCUCAUGAAAAGAAUGAGGAGGAGAGUAACACACAACAAAAAGAAACACAACUAAACAAAACCAAGGACAAGGCAGCGCACACAACCAACCGACCUCGAAAUGAUGCCAAGAAACGUGUGUUUAGGGCCAAACGCUUUUACUAUGAUGUAAAUGUACCCCCGAGAAUCUAUUUGAUAUAUAGUAUAUAUUAUAUAUGUAUGUGACUAAACUACUGUAACUACUACUAUAUACCACACGAGCCGAAAACUCAACAAAUCCCCUACCUAAAGCAAAACUUGUCUAAAUUAUGAAUUUAUUACAUGUGUAGCAUGUGUAUCUGCAAAAGUAAGGCAUAAAAAUGUAAAAA